rnacentral:rRNA from 1 species
UACAGGGGGUGCAAACGUUGCUCGGAAUUAUUGGGCGUAAAGCGCGCGUAGGCGGCCCUGUAAGUCCGUUGUGAAAGUCAAAGGCUCAACCUUUGAAAGCCGAUGGAUACUGCAGGGCUAGAGUCCGGAAGAGGCGAGUGGAAUUCCUGGUGUAGCGGUGGAAUGCGCAGAUAUCAGGAGGAACAUCAAUAGCGAAGGCAGCUCGCUGGGACGGUACUGACGCUAAGGCGCGAAAGCGUGGGGAGCGAACAGG